rnacentral:rRNA from 1 species
AUUUUUAUGGAGAGUUUGAUCCUGGCUCAGGAUGAACGCUGGCGGCGUGCCUAAUACAUGCAAGUCGAGCGAACGGACGAGAAGCUUGCUUCUCUGAUGUUAGCGGCGGACGGGUGAGUAACACGUGGAUAACCUACCUAUAAGACUGGGAUAACUUCGGGAAACCGGAGCUAAUACCGGAUAAUAUUUUGAACCGCAUGGUUCAAAAGUGAAAGACGGUCUUGCUGUCACUUAUAGAUGGAUCCGCGCUGCAUUAGCUAGUUGGUAAGGUAACGGCUUACCAAGGCAACGAUGCAUAGCCGACCUGAGAGGGUGAUCGGCCACACUGGAACUGAGACACGGUCCAGACUCCUACGGGAGGCAGCAGUAGGGAAUCUUCCGCAAUGGGCGAAAGCCUGACGGAGCAACGCCGCGUGAGUGAUGAAGGUCUUCGGAUCGUAAAACUCUGUUAUUAGGGAAGAACAUAUGUGUAAGUAACUGUGCACAUCUUGACGGUACCUAAUCAGAAAGCCACGGCUAACUACGUGCCAGCAGCCGCGGUAAUACGUAGGUGGCAAGCGUUAUCCGGAAUUAUUGGGCGUAAAGCGCGCGUAGGCGGUUUUUUAAGUCUGAUGUGAAAGCCCACGGCUCAACCGUGGAGGGUCAUUGGAAACUGGAAAACUUGAGUGCAGAAGAGGAAAGUGGAAUUCCAUGUGUAGCGGUGAAAUGCGCAGAGAUAUGGAGGAACACCAGUGGCGAAGGCGACUUUCUGGUCUGUAACUGACGCUGAUGUGCGAAAGCGUGGGGAUCAAACAGGAUUAGAUACCCUGGUAGUCCACGCCGUAAACGAUGAGUGCUAAGUGUUAGGGGGUUUCCGCCCCUUAGUGCUGCAGCUAACGCAUUAAGCACUCCGCCUGGGGAGUACGACCGCAAGGUUGAAACUCAAAGGAAUUGACGGGGACCCGCACAAGCGGUGGAGCAUGUGGUUUAAUUCGAAGCAACGCGAAGAACCUUACCAAAUCUUGACAUCCUUUGACAACUCUAGAGAUAGAGCUUUCCUUCGGGGGACAAAGUGACAGGUGGUGCAUGGUUGUCGUCAGCUCGUGUCGUGAGAUGUUGGGUUAAGUCCCGCAACGAGCGCAACCCUUAAGCUUAGUUGCCAUCAUUAAGUUGGGCACUCUAAGUUGACUGCCGGUGACAAACCGGAGGAAGGUGGGGAUGACGUCAAAUCAUCAUGCCCCUUAUGAUUUGGGCUACACACGUGCUACAAUGGACAAUACAAAGGGCAGCGAAACCGUGAGGUCAAGCAAAUCCCAUAAAGUUGUUCUCAGUUCGGAUUGUAGUCUGCAACUCGACUACAUGAAGCUGGAAUCGCUAGUAAUCGUAGAUCAGCAUGCUACGGUGAAUACGUUCCCGGGUCUUGUACACACCGCCCGUCACACCACGAGAGUUUGUAACACCCGAAGCCGGUGGAGUAACCUUUUAGGAGCUAGCCGUCGAAGGUGGGACAAAUGAUUGGGGUGAAGUCGUAACAAGGUAGCCGUAUCGGAAGGUGCGGCUGGAUCACCUCCUUU